rnacentral:rRNA from 1 species
UACGUAGGUGACAAGCGUUGUCCGGAUUUACUGGGCGUAAAGCGCGUGUAGGCGGCCAUCUAAGUCGGGCGUGAAAUCCCACGGCUCAACCGUGGAAGUGCACUCGAAACUGGAUGGCUAGAGUCCUGGAGAGGAAGGUGGAAUGCUUGGUGUAGAGGUGAAAUUCGUAGAUAUCAAGCGGGAACACCGGUGGCGAAGGCGGCCUUCUGGACAGUGACUGA